CCUACGGGGGACAGCAGUGAGGAAUAUUGGUCAAUGGGCGGGAGCCUGAACCAGCCAAGUCGCGUGAGGGAAGACGGUCCUAUGGAUUGUAAACCUCUUUAGGCGGGGAGCAAAGCCGGGCACGUGUGCCCGGAGGGAGAGUACCCGCAGAAUAAGCAUCGGCUAAGUCCGGGCCAGCAGCCGCGGUAAUACGGGGGAUGCGAGCGUUAUCCGGAUUUAUUGGGGUUAAAGGUUGCGUAGGGGGAUUUUUAAGUCAGCGGUAAAAUGUCCGGGCUCAACCCGGGCCUGCCGUUGAAACUGGAGGUCUUGAGUGGGCGAGAAGUAUGCGGAAUGCGUGGUGUAGCGGUGAAAUGCAUAGAGAUCACGCAGAACUCCGAUUGCGAAGGCAGCAUACCGGCGCCCGACUGACGCUGAGGCACGAAAGCGUGGGGAUCGAACAGGAUUAGAUACCCCUGUAGUC
rnacentral:rRNA from 1 species